GACGAACGCUGGCGGCGUGCUUAACACAUGCAAGUCGAACGGUGAGGCGCUGUUUUUGUGGGGGGGUGUGGAGGCGAGGGGAUGGGUAGAGCGAGAGUACAGUGACCUGGACUUUGGGAUUGGUUCAGGAAACGGGGGCUAAUACAGUAUGGGAGCUUCUGGUGCUUUGGGGUGGUUGGUCAGGUGCGGCGGUUGGGGAGGUGGUCGCGGCGUAUGCGGUUGUUGGUGGGGUUGUUGGGUGGCUAGGCUUCGACGGGGGGGCGGGCCGAGAGGGUGACCGGCCACAUUGGGACUGAGAUACGGCACAGACUCCGCGGGGAGGGAGCAGUGGGGAAUAUUGCACAAUGGGCGGCAGCCGGAUGCAGCAACGCCGCGUGCGGUGUGACGGCCUUCGGGUUGUAAACCGCUGUCGCCUGUGACGAAGCGUGAGUGACGGUAGUGGGUAAAGAAGCACCGGCUAACUACGUG
rnacentral:rRNA from 1 species